rnacentral:sRNA from 1 species
AACUAGACCCAAUAACAUAGCU